UACGUAGGGGGCAAGCGUUGUCCGGAAUCAUUGGGCGUAAAGCGCGUGUAGGCGGCUCGGUAAGUCCGCUCUGAAAGCCCGGGGCUCAACCCCGGGAGGCGGGUGGAUACUGCUGAGCUCGAGUCCGGAAGAGGAGUGUGGAAUUCCUGGUGUAGCGGUGAAAUGCGCAGAUAUCAAGAGGAACACCUGCGGCGAAGGCGGGUUGCUGGGCCGACACUGACGCUGAGGCACGAAAGCGUGGGGAGCAAACAGG
rnacentral:rRNA from 1 species